CCAAGCCCACGUUGAUAAUUCGAACCAUCCACCUCAUAGACAUCGCAUAAGUCAUUCAUGAACAUCCAUAAACACAUGAAAACAAUCGCAUUGUGUUAUAAAAUAAAUAAUUGAUAUAAUUAUAAAUUUAAAUUGUCCAUUUUAUAAAACAAAAUGUGAUUUAUUCAUAUAUUUAUAGAUGUUCAAUAAAAUUGAUUUCUUUCAUUAGAAUAAUAUACCUCACUAUAUAGACCAAUCACUAUAGGAUUAGAGCACCACUAGAAUUUGCGCCAAGUUCACUAAAUAAUUUCUCACUCACU
rnacentral:lncRNA from 1 species